UGGAUAAUGAAGGCACACAUGAUCAUGCUGUAUUGUGUUUGUCUGUCUAGCGUAUUUUCACGUUUUCCCAGUAUGAGUUUUUUCUAUCUUUGCCCUUGAGAUUGCAACUUUUCUUUCAUAGCCAGAAUGAUAUGCAUGUUUUCAGGUUGAUCUGUUACCGUAACUGUGUUGCGUGUUGUUUUGAAUCCGAGUCAUUGUUAUCUACGACAGCUAAAACUGACGAGGUGCGUGUGGGGUUCAUUAGUGACGAGGAGGAGCAUGACGCCAUUGUGGGAGCAUAGCACGAUAUCGGCAUCCAGAGGAUAUACUCCCUAUGGUCCUACCUCAGCGGUCUCUUCCUCAAGCAGGCAACUCGGAUUCUGGACAAGCCUGAUUUCGCACCGAGAGCCUAGGUGAAAAGGCUUGUUACUUUGUGUGAUAAAGCUGCGUCCAAGCCAAUUGAAGUUAUUAGAGAGGUUG